rnacentral:rRNA from 1 species
GCUAUAAUGCAGUCGACGCUUCUUUUUCCACCGGAGCUUGCUCCACCGGAAAAAGAAGAGUGGCGAACGGGUGAGUAACACGUGGGUAACCUGCCCAUCAGAAGGGGAUAACACUUGGAAACAGGUGCUAAUACCGUAUAACAAUCAAAACCGCAUGGUUUUGAUUUGAAAGGCGCUUUCGGGUGUCGCUGAUGGAUGGACCCGCGGUGCAUUAGCUAGUUGGUGAGGUAACGGCUCACCAAGGCCACGAUGCAUAGCCGACCUGAGAGGGUGAUCGGCCACAUUGGGACUGAGACACGGCCCAAACUCCUACGGGAGGCAGCAGUAGGGAAUCUUCGGCAAUGGACGAAAGUCUGACCGAGCAACGCCGCGUGAGUGAAGAAGGUUUUCGGAUCGUAAAACUCUGUUGUUAGAGAAGAACAAGGAUGAGAGUAACUGUUCAUCCCUUGACGGUAUCUAACCAGAAAGCCACGGCUAACUACGUGCCAGCAGCCGCGGUAAUACGUAGGUGGCAAGCGUUGUCCGGAUUUAUUGGGCGUAAAGCGAGCGCAGGCGGUUUCUUAAGUCUGAUGUGAAAGCCCCCGGCUCAACCGGGGAGGGUCAUUGGAAACUGGGAGACUUGAGUGCAGAAGAGGAGAGUGGAAUUCCAUGUGUAGCGGUGAAAUGCGUAGAUAUAUGGAGGAACACCAGUGGCGAAGGCGGCUCUCUGGUCUGUAACUGACGCUGAGGCUCGAAAGCGUGGGGGAGCAAACAGGAUAAAAUACCCUGGUAGUCCACGCCGUAAA